AUUAAGAGUGAUUUCUGGAGGAUCAUGUGACAUUGAACAGGACUUAUGCCAUGAUGUUAGAAGUACAGCUUUGAAGCAGAAAGCAGUUAUUAACUUAUUAUUUCUUUUCUGUUUUACUGUAAUGAUGUGGGCAGAAGAGACAUCUACCAAUAACAUUAAAGACUAAACUUUUUUCCAGUUAUGUACAUAGAUUAGCAACAUUAACAAUUGUAUACAUUCUUUUAGCUGCAAGAGACCCAGAAUGCAAAAUAGCACAAUAGUACAAGAAAAGCAGUAAUACAGUAUAUUUUAUUUUUCAGUUUCCACUCUGGAGGAAUCUGGAGUCUUUACCUCUGCACUAUAGGAACGCUGAAGAAGAUGAAAUUCUGAAAAACUUUGUCCUACAUCGAUCCUCCAUGAAAAGAUAAAGAGUAAGGUGUCCUACAGAGAUCAUUGUCCUCUCUUCCUCAAAAGAGCCUAUCUCCGGUUGGUUUGGGUGAUGGCGUUCAGGAUGAAAAAUGCUCCAAGAUCUUUUCACAGUGUUGGCUGGUGUUCCCAAUCCCGAAGCGUACUUGGAUGAUGUGGUUUUAUACAGCUCCACAUGGCUGGAACACAUAAUUUAACUGGCAGAGGCUAAGCUUACUUUGAACUUGGCCAAAUGGGAAUUUGGUAAAGCCGCUCUUGUCUAUUUGGGUAAAGUAACUGGUGGUGGUGAAAUGUGCCCACUUGCUGCUAAGGUUAUGGGUUUUUUGUGAUUUUUCCUCAUAAGCAAAUAUGUUGUUUUUUAGGUAAGGUAGGUAACUACCAUUCGUUUUGUAUGAAAUUUGUCAUGGUUGUUUCUCUUUUAACUGACCACCUAAGUCUGACGAUUGAGUUUGAGUGGUCCGAUGCAUGCCAGUAUGCAUUUGAGAAUAUUAAAUCCUUACUGAUUUCA